rnacentral:rRNA from 1 species
UUGUCCGGAAUUAUUGGGCGUAAAGCGCGCGCAGGCGGCUCCCCAAGUCCCUCUUAAAAGUGCGGGGCUUAACCCCGUGAUGGGAAGGAAACUGGGAAGCUGGAGUAUCGGAGAGGAAAGUGGAAUUCCUAGUGUAGCGGUGAAAUGCGUAGAGAUUAGGAAGAACACCGGUGGCGAAGGCGACUUUCUGGACGAAAACUGACGCUGAGGCGCGAAAGCGGGGGGAGCAAACAGGAUUAGAUACCCUGGUAGUCCACGCCGUAAACGAUGGAUACUAGGUGUAGGAGGUAUCGACCCCUCCUGUGCCGGAGUUAACGCAAUAAGUAUCCCGCCUGGGAAGUACGAUCGCAAGAUUAAAACUCAAAGGAAUUGACGGGGGCCCGCACAAGCGGUGGAGUAUGUGAUUUAAUUC